rnacentral:rRNA from 1 species
AAAGCAGUCGAACCUGCCCAGUGAUAAAUAUUUAACGGCCGCGGUACUCUGACCGUGCAAAGGUAGCAUAAUCAUUUGCCUUAUAAUUGAAGGCUUGUAUGAAUGGUUUGACGAAAACAAAGCUGUCUCUUUUUAAUUUUAUAAAACUUGAUUUUUAGGUGAAGAAGCCUAAAUAAAAUUGAAAGACAAGAAGACCCUAUCGAGCUUUAAAAAAUUUUAUUAAUAUAUAAUGAUUAAAAAAAUCAGCUAUAAUAAAAAAUUUUAGUUGGGGCGACUAAGGAACAAAAAAGCUUCCUUUUAAAAUAUAAAGCAAAUCAGCCAUGAUCCAAAAUUUUUGAUUAAAAGAAUUAGUUACCGUAGGGAUAACAGCAUAAUCUUUUUUGAGAGUUCUUAUCGAAAAAAAGGUUUGUGACCUCGAUGUUGGACUAGAAUAUCCUAAAUGAUGCAGA